rnacentral:lncRNA from 1 species
UCUUCAUUACAUGAAUAAAUUGAUACUAAUCCAACAUUAUUAUAAAUAUGUCCUCUUCUUUCAAUACAUCUGUUAUUAUUAUUAUUAUUAUUAUUAUUAUUAUUAUUAUUGUUGUUGUUAUUAUUAAAAUUGUUGGUAGAAUUAUAUUUCCAAUAUAGUUGUUUAAAGUUUUUUUAUUUUAGGACUACAUAAUAAAUAAAAAUAUAUUUUUAUAUAUGUAUUGUAUAAUAAUCUACGUAAGUAAUUAUUAUGUCUGUACUUAAAUAGUUUUAUAAGUUUUAUAAGUUUUGUAUGUUUUCUUUUAUUUGUAUUUGUAUAUACUGUAUAAGAUGUUAUACAUAUUAGUUGAUCAAUCAUCUUUUUUAAUUCUUAAAGUGUAAUCAGACAUAUUUCUUUUAUCACAUACUUGCAUGUUAUAUAAAAUAUAUAAUAAGUUUGUAUUUAUAAUAUAAAGGUAUUUAUUUACAUUUGAAAAUUUUAUUAUAUCUAUUAUUGAUCCGAGUUUUUGUUUAUUUGUUUUGGUUGUAUCACCAAUUUUUUGUAUUCUUUUUAAUGUAGGAAUCACUUGUUCGGUUAAGUUGCUUUAUUAGUUUUUUAAUACCACUUCGUUUUAAAUCGUUUUUGCAUAUACCACUAUACAUACCACUACAUAUACCACUACACAUACCACUACACAUACCACUACACAUACUACUACAUAUACCACUACACAUACCACUACACAUACCACUACAUAUACCACUACAUAUACCACUACAUAUACCACUACACAUACCACUACAUAUACCACUACAUAUACCACUACAUAUACCACUACACAUACUACUACAUAUACCACUACACAUACCACUACAUAUACCACUACACAUACUACUACAUAUACCACUACACAUACCACUACAUAUACCACUACACAUACUACUACAUAGUUUUUUGCACAUAUCUUUAUUAAUCAUUUUCACAUGUAUUAAACGGAUCACUUGAUUAAGCCAUAACAUUAAAUAUAUUAUUUUAUAUUCCAAUGCAUUUACUAUAUUUACACGAUAUGAUUUAUCACCAUCUGUUUGUUCGGUAUACCCCAUGUUACGACUACUAUUAGUAGCACCAGUAACAGCAGUUAUAAUUUGCAAAAACUUUAUUAAAAACUUUUCUCUUAUAUUAUUUGUAGGUAUUUUUAAUAAUAUGUCGUUAAUUUUUUUGAUAUUAUUAAUAUUGGUUAUUUUUUUUAGUUAAAUCUGUAUAUAGGACACUAUUAUUUAUAACUUUAGAUGCACUUUUUGGUGCAUCCAAAUAUGUACCACCUAACUUAGAUACAUUUGAAUAUCUCGUAAUUAGUUCAUCAACAAUAUGUAUUCUGAUAGAAGCAUGGUUCGAAGCGCUUCCAGAAAAAUAAACGAAAAAAGGGUUACUUGUUCUUUUACA